AACGAACGCUGGCGGCAGGCUUAACACAUGCAAGUCGAACGCCCCGCAAGGGGAGUGGCAGACGGGUGAGUAACACGUGGGAACAUGCCCAAAGGUACGGAAUAUUCUCGGGAAACUGGGAGCAAUACCGUAUGUGCCCGAAAGGGGAAAGAUUUAUCGCCUUUGGAUUGGCCCGCGUUGGAUUAGCUAGUUGGUGGGGUAAAAGCCUACCAAGGCGACGAUCCAUAGCUGGUCUGAGAGGACGACCAGCCACACUGGGACUGAGACACGGCCCAGACUCCUACGGGAGGCAGCAGUGGGGAAUCUUGGACAAUGGGCGCAAGCCUGAUCCAGCCAUGCCGCGUGAGUGAUGAAGGCCCUAGGGUUGUAAAACUCUUUCGUGGGGGACGAUAAUGACGGUGCCCCAAGAAGAAGCUCCGGCUAACUUCGUGCCAGCAGCCGCCGUAAGAC
rnacentral:rRNA from 1 species